rnacentral:lncRNA from 1 species
CUUAGCAUGCUCACAUGCAAGAUGAAUCUCAAAGCAAAGCAAACAGGACACUGGCUUACUGCUUCUAAAAAUUACCCUUGAUCAAGGGUAACCGGGCAACUCCACUGACUUACAGCCACAAGAGAAUGGAAAACAUACCAGGAAUGUGGGGAUUCCCUUAAGUGUGAUUCUGGGGGAACUGAGGUCACUUUGAGAGCUGCUUCUAGCUGCACUUUCAUGCCACCAGGGGGGCUAUAUGAAAUAUGUGGUUAUAUUCCUGAUGUCUAUAUUCCGACCUGGAUAUAAUUAACAAACAGCCUAAUGAUGUAUAAUAACUCUGAAGACACACUAAAACAUCCGUCUCAGUCUGGGCAGUGGCAGCACAUCCCUUUCGUCCCAGCACUCAGGAGGCAGAGGAGACAUGAGGGCUGGAGGGUUGACACUUGUUGCCCUUGCAGAGGACCCAGUCAUCCCAGGGGAUCCCUAACCAAGCUGACUAGGGAGACUGGCACCAUCGGCAAGCUCCGGGUUUGAUUGAGAUGCCCUACUACAAUCAAUAAGAUGGGAGAGGAAUUGAGAAUAAUUCCUGACAUCAACCUUGGACCUCCACAUGUGUAGUGAGAGAUUCACCCUGCCUCACCUGUGGUGCUGACCACACCUGUUUGGGCAUGAUCACAGGUGAGCAAGUGGUAUUUGGUCUGGGAUCCUGGACAGGUUUGCUCUCUCUUGGUUCCGGUCAGGUCAUAGUGAGCAGCCUGGGUGUGGCUCCUCGGAGCAGGAACUUGCGGAUCAUCAGUUUCUUAUGUAACUGACUUCUCCCCAAAUAAAUUUAACCUAUAUUUAGCCAAGUCCUGUGUAUCUUAAUCUGUGCAUCCACACACAUGCACUUGUACACAGGUGCACACACAUCCAUUCAUGUGUGCUCAAACACAUGUAAACAUGCACACCACAUACACAUGAAAACGGGGAAAAUACAAUGGGAAAACAGAAAUGCCAGUUAUCCUAGAAAGUGUGCCAGGCUGUCACACGUGACUUUCACUUCCAUUUUCCCCAUAUGCUAC